rnacentral:rRNA from 1 species
CCCGGUGUCCCAAUACCCAAGGGGCCACACCCGUUCCCAUUCCGAAUACGGUCGUUAAGCCCUUGGGGCCGAUGAUACUGUCGGGAAUCACUUCGGCGGGAAAGUAGGUCGAUGCCGGGG